GACGAACGCUGGCGGCGUGCUUAACACAUGCAAGUCGAACGGAAAGGCCCUGCUUUUGUGGGGUGCUCGAGUGGCGAACGGGUGAGUAAAACGUGAGUAACCUGCCCUUGUCUUUGGGAUAACUUCAGGAAACUGGGGCUAAUACCGGAUAGGAGCUCCUGCUGCAUGGUGGGGGUUGGAAAGUUUCGGCGGUUGGGGAUGGACUCGCGGCUUAUCAGCUUGUUGGUGGGGUAGUGGCUUACCAAGGCUUAGACGGGUAGCCGGCCUGAGAGGGUGACCGGGGACAUUGGGACUGAGGUACGGCGCAGACUCCUACGGGAGGCAGCAGGGGGGAAUAUUGCACAGUGGGCGGAAGCCUGAUGCAGCAACGCCGCGUGCGUGAUAACGGGCUUCGGGUUGUAAACCGCUUUGGCCUGUGACGAAGCGGGAGUGACGGUAAUGGGUAAAGAAGCACCGGCUAACUACGUG
rnacentral:rRNA from 1 species